AAACUCAAAGGAAUUGACGGGGACCCGCACAAGCGGUGGAUGAUGUGGAUUAGUUCGAUGCAACGCGAAUAACCUUACCUACCCUUGACAUGUACGGAAUUUUGCUGAGAGGUGAAAGUGCCUGAAAGGGAGCCGUAACACAGGUGCUGCAUGGCUGUCGUCAGCUCGUGUCGUGAGAUGUUGGGUUAAGUCCCGCAACGAGCGCAACCCUUGUCAUUAAUUGCCAUCAUUAAGUUGGGCACUUUAANNANNNNGCCGGUGACAAACCGGAGGAAGGCGGGGAUGACGUCAAGUCCUCAUGGCCCUUAUGGGUAGGGCUUCACACGUCAUACAAUGGCCGGUACAGAGGGUAGCCAACCCGCGAGGGGGAGCCAAUCCUAGAAAGCCGGUCGUAGUCCGGAUUGUUCUCUGCAACUCGAGAGCAUGAAGUCGGAAUCGCUAGUAAUCGCGGAUCAGCAUGUCGCGGUGAAUACGUUCCCGGGUCUUGUACACACCGCCCGUCACACCAUGGGAGUGGGUGAUACCAGAAGUAGGCAGUCUNNNNNNGGAGGAGGGCGCUUACCACGGUAUGAUUCAUGANNNNNNNNNGNNCGUAACAA
rnacentral:rRNA from 1 species